GCCGCAGUAGCUCAAUGGUAGAGCGAAGGUCUGAAGAACCUUGCGUUGGUGGUCCGAUUCCGCCCUGCGGCA
rnacentral:tRNA from 3 species